rnacentral:rRNA from 1 species
CCUACGGGGGGCAGCAGUGGGGAAUAUUGCACAAUGGAGGGAACUCUGAUGCAGCGACGCCGCGUGAGUGAUGAAGGAAUUCGUUUCGUAAAACUCUGUUCUAUGGGAAGAAAAGGACUGUACCAUAGGAGAAAGCUCCGGCUAAAUACGUGCCAGCAGCCGCGGUAAUACGUAUGGAGCGAGCGUUGUCCGGAAUUAUUGGGCGUAAAGGGUGCGCAGGCGGCUUUACAAGUUGGAUGUGAAAUAUUGUGGCUCAACCACAAACGUGCAUCCAAAACUGCAAAGCUUGAGUUAAGGAGAGGUAAGUGGAAUUCCUGGUGUAGCGGUGGAAUGCGUAGAUAUCAGGAGGAAUACCGGUGGCGAAGGCGACUUACUGGACUUAAACUGACGCUCAGGCACGAAAGCGUGGGGAGCAAACAGGAUUAGAUACCCGUGUAGU